rnacentral:rRNA from 1 species
UACGAAGGGGGCUAGCGUUGUUCGGAAUUACUGGGCGUAAAGCGUGCGCAGGCGGCUUCUCAAGUCAGGGGUGAAAGCCCAGAGCUCAACUCUGGAAUUGCCUUUGAGACUGAGUGGCUUGAGUACGAGAGAGGUGAGUGGAAUUCCCAGUGUAGAGGUGAAAUUCGUAGAUAUUGGGAAGAACACCAGUGGCGAAGGCGGCUCACUGGCCCGGUACUGACGCUGAGGUGCGAAAGCGUGGGGAGCAAACAGG